rnacentral:tRNA from 1 species
GCGCCUGUAGCUCAGUCGGAUAGAGCAGCUGCCUUCUAAGCAGCCGGUUGGGGGUUCGAGUCCCUCCAGGCGCGCCA